CCCUGUUGAUUCAGUAGCUAACUUGACUUGCUGUCUUAACUCUACUUGGCAGGCCCCUUGCCGCAUGCAUUUGGCGACCAUCUUGCAGGAGCUGAAGGCCCCACUCUACCUGAAUGGGGAAGACAUCUUCAUUCCCAAUUGCGACACCAGGGGCUUCUACAGACGGAAGCAGUGUCGGACAUCCAAAGGGCAGAAGAGAGGCCAAUGCUGGUGUGUGGAUAAGAGGGGCCAUCGGUUGGAGGAGCUGGACAAAACCCCCCUUUGCCUGCUUGGAAACAGUGACUGAGUGGGGUUGCGGGGUACGCAGCACUUCAGCAGCAGAGAUUCGAUUAAGAGGAAUCUCCCUACUAGAAUGGUCACAGAAGUGUUUGCUUUUAACUUAUUGUGUGGCUGCUGCCUGCAUUCCCUGGUGUAACCUUGGAGCAGCUGUUGUGUUUGAUGACAACCCACAGAAGGGUGGAGCCGCCUGGAGGGGCUGCUUCAGGGCAACAGCAGACAAGACAGGAAGCUUUUAACUCCACGACUGAAGAUGCUUUGUUGAAUAAGCUAUCGAUGACUGCACUGGCACCUUAACCAACUCUAUUUGAUAGAUGUGGCAUGUAUCACAGGUGCUAAACCAGAAGGGGGACAUGAGUUGCCAGAUACUGGGCUUGGGAUGGGUGUGCAUACAGUUCUCAAGAGUGCUUGGAAGGUAGUACAAAGUUUCAGCUAGUGUCGACCAGACUAAGCCAAGGUGGAUGUGGCUAGGAAGAACUGGAAAAGUUAUGUGAUGAAAGGAGGAGCCUUUGUGAAAAGGAUGAAGUAGGCGACAGUGGAGAGCCCAACAGGGCACGGAACAGGUCUUCAUUCUGUUGUCAAUACCUACAGUCAGAACAAGAUGGUGGGAAGAAUAGUGGAUGCACUUUGGGUCGACACUCAUGAAGAACCCCUUCAUACCAAAACCUGCCUUUUUCUCAAUUUCACCUCCAAGUUGCUUAAUGACCUCCACACAAGCAGAAAACAGGGAGGGCUACCUGUGCAUGGUAGGAAUGGCUGAUGGGAAGGUCUGAGGCUGCCUUCCAUACCAAGGAGCAGUGUAUGAUGGAUCUUUCCCUAUUCUCUACAAGGGUCUUUAACUUGUGCAUUUGGAGAGGAUGAAUUUGGCUGCUGUAUGUUUCACUCAAUGGCUACAAUAAAUCUGGUAACUAUUAGAGCUUGCUGCUACUUUCUGUGAAUGACAUGUUGUGUCUUGUGAAGAUUCCCCAUAAAGAAACUGAAAAGGGUUUUAAAAAUCCCUUCCUGCAAUAAACAUUUGAAAACAACUAAGGGGUUGUAACUGCACUUGGCAAUUAGAGCUAUACUCAAAACUUCAUUUUCAUUGGCAAGUACUUCUCUUAGCUGGCUAGACUGUUUAUUCACAGCAUACUCAAGACAACAAUUAUUUCUCAGUUUUGUUUGCCACUAAAUGGGCUAUUAAAAUUGGAGGCUACUGUUAUCAAGUUAAAGGCUGCAGCCAUUGUUCUUGCAUGUGCUUGCAAAGCAAAACGAAGUUGAAAGAUUGGAA
rnacentral:lncRNA from 1 species